UACAGAGGUCUCAAGCGUUGUUCGGAUUUAUUGGGCGUAAAGAGCGUGUAGGCGGUUUGGUAGGUCCGCUGUGAAAACUCGAGGCUCAACCUCGAGACGCCGGUGGAAACCAUCAGGCUAGAGUCCGGAAGAGGAGAGUGGAAUUCCUGGUGUAGCGGUGAAAUGCGCAGAUAUCAGGAAGAACACCCGUGGCUAAGGCGGCUCUCUAGUACGGUACUGACGCUGAGACGCGAAAGCGUGGGGAGCGAACAGG
rnacentral:rRNA from 1 species